GUCAUUGGGAAUAUAUAAAAACCUAAAGGCAUAAUUAACUUAACUGUUAUUUAAUGGGAUCAAAUAUAUAUAUUAUAAAUAUAUAUAUAUUCCAUCCCGGGACGUUCUAUACAGUUAUGCAUUUUAAUAUAUUUAUAUAUAUUAUAUAUGCCUCUAACUAGAGCGUACCUUGAGCAUAUAUGUUGUGACCCGAAAGAUGGUGAACUAUACCUGAUCAGGUUGAAGUCAGGGGAAACCCUGAUGGAAGACCGAAACAGUUCUGACGUGCAAAUCGAUUGUCAGAAUUGGGUAUAGGGGCGAAAGACCAAUCGAACCAUCUAGUAGCUGGUUCCCUCCGAAGUUUCCCUCAGGAUAGCUGGUGCAUUUAAAUAUUAUAUUAAAUAAUCUUAUCUGGUAAAGCGAAUGAUUAGAGGCCUUAGGGCCGAAACGACCUUAACCUAUUCUCAAACUUUAAAUGGGUAAGAACCUCACCUUUCUUGAUAUGAAGGUUGAGGUUAUGAUAUAUUGUGCCCAGUGGGCCACUUUUGGUAAGCAGAACUGGCGCUGUGGGAUGAACCAAACGUGAUGUUAAGGCGCCCAAAUUAACAACUCAUACUGAUACCAUGAAAGGCGUUGCUUGCUUAAAACAGCAGGACGGUGGACAUGGAAGUCGUAAUCCGCUAAGGAGUGUGUAACAACUCACCUGCCGAAGCAACUAGCCCUUAAAAUGGAUGGCGCUCAAGUUGUAUGCCUAUACAUCACCGCUAAAAUAUAUGAUUUAUAUAAAUAUUUUUGUUAUAAAUUUUGAAAUUUUAGUGAGUAGGAGGGUACAAUGGUGUGCGUAGAAGUAUUUGGCGUAAGCCUGUAUGGAGCCGCCAUUGGUACAGAUCUUGGUGGUAGUAGCAAAUAAUCGAAUGAGACCUUGGAGGACUGAAGUGGAGAAGGGUUUCGUGUGAACAGUGGUUGAUCACGAGUUAGUCGGUCCUAAGUUCAAGGCGAAAGCCGAAAAUUUUAAGUUAAAUGUUAUAAAAAAUUAUACUUAUAAAUUUUUAUGAACGAAAGGGAAUACGGUUCCAAUUCCGUAACCUGUUGAGUAUACGUUUGUUAUUAAAAAUGGGCUUUUAUGCUCAUCCUGGCAACAGAAACAACCAUAAAGAAGCCGUCGAGAAAUAUCGAAAGAGUUUUCUUUUCUGUUUCAUAGUCGUACUACCAUGGAAGUCUUUCGAAGAGAGAUAUGGUAGAUGGACUAGAAGAGCAUGGCAUUUACUGCUGUGUCGAUAUUUUCUCCUC
rnacentral:rRNA from 1 species